rnacentral:misc_RNA from 1 species
AAUUCUCAACCAUGUCUUGAUUGAUUUCGAGGCAUGGCUUGGACUUGGGGGUUUGCUGGCGGCGACAGUCGUCGGCUCUCCUGAAAUGCAUUAGCGAUGGACAGCAAGUCUGACAUGCACGGCCUUGACGUGAUAAUGAUCGUCGUCGCUGGAGUGUUGGACGAGCGCACAUGUCUGUUUGCUUACAAUCCCUUGACUUGGAAACUUGAGACUUUCGAGAAAAGCUCAGCUACUAGUCGUGGUCGUGAGACCUGACGAACGCGGGCUAGCUUUCGGAGGUCGAAGGUCCCUCGUCUUCAUUGACA